UUCCUUUGAAACCCUUGCUCUACCUUCAUCGUUCAUUAGUUGAAGAGCCCUAUCACAUUUCAUUCCAUACGAUUCAUCUUCUUCUUCUUCAAUCAAAACAAAACAUAUUGACCCACAACUUCUUUAGAGAGAGAGAGAGAGAGAAUCGCCCUUCUUACUCUCCUUCAUUGAAUGUAUCUCCUGAAUCGUAUUUCCUUCAAUUCGUCUUUUCAAUCCCCUCCGUUUCAAUCGCACCCCUGAAAGAUAAAAGUGGUUGGAUUUGAUGAGAAGUGUGUUCCACGUAGUACCCAGUCGUCACGUUUCCAGAUUCGUAGAGAGAGAGAUGAGAGAUGAGUUAGCAGAGAACUUCUAUAAUUGCGAUCAACUACUGCUAGGGUUUACACUCGCUUUCUUCUAAUUAAUCGCACCAAACAGUGCUUCAAAGCUUCAAGCAAUUUGAUGACGCUUAAAACCUGUGUAAUAUCAUGGUCUAUCUAAUUCGUUUUGGUGUUGAGUGUAUACAUGUGAUAUGUUAUGAGUUCUGCUGCUUGUGGAGUUGUGGUCAUCCAUUUGUGCAACUUGUCGGCAAGGACUUGAAGAUGAUGUACCUUGCUAUUGAGACUCAAAUGGAGGGUUGGAAAACAAACCUUUGAAGGUUUUUUGUUCUCAACUAACGUGAGCUUGGGGGCUUUUUACAUCAGUUGACUUUUCUGGUCAACAACAGUGUGUUCUUACAUUCCUCCAUUGUUUUUGUUUCUGAUGUCAUCUCUUCAUAUAUGUUUAUUAAAACAUUCAUUUCUGAAGAUUAUAAGUACCUCUAUGAAUAAAUAUUCAACAAUUUUUUACUUCAGCCAUGAAAUGAAAAUAUUACCAUCAAAUGUCAUCAAAGUGAACGACCUUUCCAUUUUCAUUGUUCUGUUUCGAUUGUUGCCACCCCUUUGCUUUCUAGGCUUCAUAUAAGUAAAUAAUAACUCUUAAUUUAUCCACGUAGUUUGGGGCACGUGCAUAUUCAACUAUAAUUGAUUGAUUUCCAUAAACAAUGUAAUUGUGCAUAUUUAUUUUUGGAUAACCGUCUACAUAAAUGUUUCGUGCUUUUCCUUCCCAGGCCUGCUUAUGCAGAUUCGGAUUCAGAAGAAACAGUUGACAGUGACCCACAUGAAAGUCAGUUGGCUGGUGAUGGGAUUGGGGAUGACGGUGGCAUGCGUUAGCUAAAUUUUGGUCUAUGUGUUAUCCAAUAAGAUAGGAAGGCGUGCGAGAGUUUAUGCGUUUUUCCUUUUUCUGUUUCAUGUUUUUUCCUUGGAAGACAUCUUUUUUCACUUCUUUUUGGCUGACAAGUUUUGCAAG